rnacentral:rRNA from 1 species
GUCUCAAAGAUUAAGCCAUGCAUGUCUAAGUAUAAGCAAUUAUACAGCGAAACUGCGAAUGGCUCAUUAUAUAAGUUAUCGUUUAUUUGAUAGUACCUUACUACUUGGAUAACCGUGGUAAUUCUAGAGCUAAUACAUGCUGAAAAUCCCGACUUCGGAAGGGAUGUAUUUAUUAGAUUAAAAACCAAUGCCCUUCGGGGCUCUCUGGUGAUUCAUAAUAACUUCUCGAAUCGCAUGGCCUUGCGCCGGCGAUGGUUCAUUCAAAUUUCUUCCCUAUCAACUUUCGAUGUUUGGGUAGUGGCCAAACAUGGUUGCAACGGGUAACGGAGGGUUAGGGCUCGACCCCGGAGAAGGAGCCUGAGAAACGGCUACUACAUCCAAGGAAGGCAGCAGGCGCGCAAAUUACCCAAUCCCGACUCGGGGAGGUAGUGACAAUAAAUACUGAUACAGGGCUCUUUUGGGUCUUGUAAUUGGAAUGAGUACAAUUUAAAUCCCUUAACGAGGAACAAUUGGAGGGCAAGUCUGGUGCCAGCAGCCGCGGUAAUUCCAGCUCCAAUAGCGUAUAUUAAAGUUGUUGUGGUUAAAAAGCUCGUAGUUGAACCUUGGGCCUGGCUGGCCGGUCCGCCUCACCGCGAGUACUGGUCCGGCCGGGCCUUUCCCUCUGUGGAACCUCAUGCCCUUCACUGGGCGUGGCGGGGAAACAGGACUUUUACUUUGAAAAAAUUAGAGUGCUCCAGGCAGGCCUAUGCUCGAAUACAUUAGCAUGGAAUAAUGAAAUAGGACGUGCGGUUCUAUUUUGUUGGUUUCUAGGACCGCCGUAAUGAUUAAUAGGGACAGUCGGGGGCAUCAGUAUUCAAUUGUCAGAGGUGAAAUUCUUGGAUUUAUUGAAGACUAACUACUGCGAAAGCAUUUGCCAAGGAUGUUUUCAUUAAUCAGGAACGAAAGUUAGGGGAUCGAAGACGAUCAGAUACCGUCGUAGUCUUAACCAUAAACUAUGCCGACUAGGGAUCGGACGAUGUUAUUUUUUGACUCGUUCGGCACCUUACGAGAAAUCAAAGUGCUUGGGCUCCAGGGGGAG